rnacentral:rRNA from 1 species
CCUUACCUGGCCUUGACAUCCAGAGAACUUUCCAGAGAUGGAUUGGUGCCUUCGGGAACUCUGAGACAGGUGCUGCAUGGCCGUCGUCAGCUCGUGUCGUGAGAUGUUGGGUUAAGUCCCGUAACGAGCGCAACCCCUAUCCCUGGUUGCUAGCAGGUAAUGCUGAGAACUCCAGGGAGACUGCCGGUGACAAACCGGAGGAAGGUGGGGAUGACGUCAGGUCAUCAUGGCCCUUACGGCCAGGGCUACACACGUGCUACAAUGGCGCGUACAGAGGGCUGCCAACUCGCGAGAGUGAGCCAAUCCCUUAAAACGCGUCGUAGUCCGGAUCGGAGUCUGCAACUCGACUCCGUGAAGUCGGAAUCGCUAGUAAUGGCGAAUCAGAAUGUCGCGGUGAAUACGUUCCCGGGUCUGUACACACCG